UCAAGAUAACAUUACACCCAGAAUGCACCUGAACCCACCUCCCGGUAACUCCAGCACGCCCGUGGGCGCAAAAAUGGGCACAAGGGCAUUUGCUAUUUAAACAACGUGGGUGCUGGACGCUCUUAAAAUAGCAAAGACACUUGCGUUGGCUUUGUGUCGCGACGGGUGCAAGAUAGUGCCCUAAAUGUGUCAA